GGCGGAGGGGGCCUCCGUGGUGCCCGGCAGGCUGCGGCCCCCUCCUCCCCUCUCUCCCACUUUCACGAGCGCACUUCAAGGGCACCGACCUGGCAGCGGACACUGGGGGCCCAUAUGACCCUUUUUUUGGAGCCGGCGCUGGAAAGAGAAGAGUAAGAUGAUUGGCCAGUGAGAUGAAUCAGAGCACCCUCCACCCAGCUCGGCCGUGGACUCCCAAAGGGCAGGAACCAUGUCUCACUCGAUCCUGUUUCCCCAGCUCCUGGCAGGAUGCUCAGAACAGAGAAGAUGCUCACCAGUGUUUGCUGAGGAAGUGCACCUGGCUUCAGCAAACACCCUUCCCCUCUUUCCCAUCUGUCUCCACGGACCAGAUGCAGUUGGACUCUUCCUCUCUGAGCGGACAGAUGGCGGGUGAAUUCCUGAAUGACCAUGGCUGAUCACUUCCUCGGGUUCAGAGAGAACACAGGCACGGCUGUGAAGGCUCGGGUCGCGCAGGGCGGACUGCAGUCCCCUCCGUGAGCACGGCUAUUUACCAGGUGAUUUGGAAGCUGACAGGGACAUGCGGUGUGUGCACACAAAGGGAUCCUCAAUGCAUGUGCCUAUCUACGACUUUCCUAUGACCCACAGCCCUAGAUUCUCCACUUACACUGUUGCCACUUGGUAGAAGAAUGAUGCUCAAAGCACACACUCACAUGCCCAAAUUCUCACAAAUUCCUCCCCUGUGAUUUAGGAUUUUUGCCUCCGCGAAGG